rnacentral:tRNA from 1 species
GCCUUCGUGGUGCAACGGUUAGCACACUCGGUGCGUGUUCAAGAGGUCCAGGUUCGAAUCCCGUCGACGGCA